rnacentral:rRNA from 1 species
GACGAACGCUGGCGGCGUGCUUAACACAUGCAAGUCGAACGGAAAGGCCCUGCUUUUGUGGGGUGCUCGAGUGGCGAACGGGUGAGUAACACGUGAGUAACCUGCCCUUGACUUUGGGAUAACUUCAGGAAACUGGGGCUAUACCGGAUAGGAGCUCCUGCUGCAUGGUGGGGGGUGGGAAGUUUCGGCGGUUGGGGAUGGACUCGCGGCUUAUCAGCUUGUUGGUGGGGUAGUGGCUUACCAAGGCUUUGACGGGUAGCCGGCCUGAGAGGGUGACCGGCCACAUUGGGACUGAGAUACGGCCCAGACUCCUACGGGAGGCAGCAGUGGGGAAUAUUGCACAAUGGGCGGAAGCCUGAUGCAGCAACGCCGCGUGCGGGAUGACGGCCUUCGGGUUGUAAACCGCUUUCGCCUGUGACGAAGCGUGAGUGACGGUAAUGGGUAAAGAAGCACCGGCUAACUACGUG